GGUACGCCCACCCAAUCACCACGUGAGGCCACAUGCACUAUUCCAGCGAAUUUUAGAAUAAAGAACAAGAAAAAAAAAAAAAAGUAGACGCGGGUUUGAUCAUUUCAUCCCUUGAAAAGGGAUGCUUACCAAAAGAAUUCAGUCACUUUCUGAUUAAAUCCAAAUUGCUGAGUAAUUCUGCGGCAAAGAAUUCUUAAUAUUAAGGAGGGGUAGCCAAACCGAGUCUAUCUAUCAAACCUAUAUAAAUCUAUAUUAAUAUCCCAAGUUUGAAUGGAGAGGAAUAGCUCGUAUGGAACGUCGUGGGCUGAUCAAUGGGACUACAGCGAUUCAGUCGACCCAGUUGCAGACAGGAAUAAAGAAAGUGCGAAGAGCAGAAAUGGAAGGAAGGUUGGAGAUGGGUUGGAGAAGACAAAGGUGGUUGCUGCCUCUGGCAUUAAGAAGGUUAAGGAAGGAACAUUUUUUAGCCUCGACUGGAUCAAAGACAAGUAUAAGAAGAGGACCCACAAGCCCUAGUUCCACAUCCAUUUUAUCUUUUUUCUUUCUCUUCCUUUUUGUUUUUUACCCAUCUGUACUAGAAUUUCUUUCUUUGUUUUAUUACUGUGAAUGGGAGAGAUUUACAUAUGUUCUCUAAUUGAAAUUAUUUUCCUAUUUGGUUAUCAGGAGUA